UUGUGAUCGCUUCAGCAGCAUUAAAAUUGGAAUGAUACAGAGAAGAUUAGCAUAGCGCUUGUACAAGGAUGACAUGAAAAUUUGUGAAGCAUUCCAUAUUUAA